rnacentral:rRNA from 1 species
UACGUAGGAGGCAAGCGUUGUCCGGAUUCACUGGGUGUAAAGGGUCCGCAGGCGGGUAUUCAAGUCGAUGGUGAAAUCCUUCCGCUCAACGGGAGAGCUGCCGUCGAUACUGUUUACCUUGAGUACAGAAGAGGGUGAUGGAAUUCCAGGUGUAGCGGUGAAAUGCGUAGAUAUCUGGAAGAACACCGGUUGCGAAGGCUGUUGCCUGGUCUGUUACUGACGCUCAUGGACGAAAGCGUGGGGAUCAAAC